AGAGAGAGACAUGCGCGCAUAUCAAUAAGCGGAGGAAAAGAAACUAACUAGGAUUCCCUCAGUAACGGCGAGUGAAGCGGGAAGAGCUCAAAUUUGAAAUCUUCAAGGUUCUACCUUGACGAAUUGUAGUUUAAAGAAGUGUUUUCUGUUGGAGUUUUGGUAAAAGUUCUUUGGAAUAGGACAUCAUAGAGGGUGAGAAUCCUGUAUUUGACCAUUAUUUCCAGCUUUGUGAUACACUUUCAAAGAGUCGGAUUGUUUGGGAAUGCAGUCCAAAAUGGGUGGUAAAUUUCAUCUAAAGCUAAAUAUUGGCGAGAGACCGAUAGCGAACAAGUACCGUGAGGGAAAGAUGAAAAGAACUUUGAAAAGAGAGUUAAACAGUACGUGAAAUUGUCAAAAGGGAAGCGUUUGACACCAGUGUUGUUUUCUCGAAAAUCAAUUAGAAAAGAGUUAGAUUUUGUUGUGUAUUGACCUUUAUCAGCUUCUGCACUUCAUUUUCUUGUCUUUUUUAAUGCACUUUUCGUUUAACAAGUCAACAUCAAUUUCUUUUGUUGUAAAAGGGUCAUUGGAAGGUGGCUUUCUUUUCGGAGAAAGUGUUUAUAGCCUUUGGCCUCUGCAAUCGGAGAGAUUGAGGUCUGCAGCGUAGAUCCUUCGGGGUUAGAUACAUUUGUGCUAAGUUAUAGCCUCUCAUAGACAACUUGUUGACUAUGAUCAGUCAUGUAGCUUACUCGCUUAUGCUAUUUUACCUACGCUUAGGAUGUUGAUGUGAUACUGCGAGCA
rnacentral:rRNA from 1 species